UACGUAGGGUGCAAGCGUUGUUCGGAAUCAUUGGGCGUAAAGCGUACGUAGGUGGAUGGGGAAGUCAGGUGUGAAAUCCCACAGCUUAACUGUGGAAUUGCGCUUGAAACUCCUCAUCUAGAGGGUGGUAGAGGUAGGUGGAAGUCCAAGUGUAGAGGUGAAAUUCGUAGAUAUUUGGAGGAACUUUCGUGGCGAAGGCGGCCUGCUGGGCCACUCCUGACACUGAGGUACGAAAGCAUGGGUAGCAAACAGG
rnacentral:rRNA from 1 species